AAAAAAUGGUGAGUUUGAAGAGUAGUUGCAGGUGUGAGUUACUGCUUUUUUCCCCCAUUAUUCCCUUCAAUUUUCAGUGAUUUCUCUCUUUUCAUGUUUUAAAAGCAACCCCUUUUCUUCAAGUUCCAUUCUUGAAGUCUGUAUUGAUGAUUACAGCUGUUGUUUGCUCAGUUGUUGUAGUUGUUAAUUUAAUGCCCUCUUUCUCUUAUUUUACUAAUAAAGAUCCAAUCUUUAUUACUGAGUUAGCUCAACUGCUUAACAAAGCCUUGAUAUCUGCUCUAGACAGGGAAUAUUGGUACCCCAUUAUUUGAACUUCAGCAAUAUUGUUGCCUGAUUGAGAUAUGACCCAUUUGUUGAAUUGAUUUUGUCAUUCUUGAAUUGGUAGAAGAUGACUGUUUGGUAGAGCCAAUGUCAGUUGCCUGUUGUAUUCCAGUUGUUG
rnacentral:misc_RNA from 1 species